rnacentral:rRNA from 1 species
GCUANGGAGUGUGUAACAACUCACCUGCCGAAGCAACUAGCCCUGAAAAUGGAUGGCGCUAAAGCUCCGUGCCUAUACCCGGCCGCCGGAAGGCAUAGGCGUGAGCCGCUCCCUCGUGGGGCGGCGAGCGCGCGAAGCCCCGGCGAGUAGGAGGGCGCGGCGGUGAGCGCGGAAGGGUCUGGGCGUGAGCCUGCCUGGAGCCGCCGCCGGUGCAGAUCUUGGUGGUAGUAGCAAAUACUCAAGCGAGGGCCUUGAGGGCUGAUGUGGAGAAGGGUUUCGUGUGAACAGCCGUUGCACACGAGUCAGUCGAUCCUAAGCCCUAGGAGAAAUCCGAUGUCGAUGCGGGGGGCAGUUUCUUACGUGCUCCCCCUCGAUGGGCGAAAGGGAAUCCGGUUCCUAUUCCGGAACCCGGCAGCGGAACCGAAUCUACGGGCCCUCGUCAGAGAAGCUCGUCGGGGUAACCCAAAGGGACCCGGAGACGCCGUCGGGAGACCCGGGCAGAGUUUUCUGUUCUGCAUAAGCGUUCGAGUUCCCUGGAAUCCUCUAGCAGGGAGAUAGGGUUUGGAACGCGAAGAGCACCGCAGUUGCGGCGGUGUCCGGGU